rnacentral:lncRNA from 1 species
AAAAUAAUUUUUUUAAUUUUUUUCUGAAUUAUAAUAUUUCGAAAUUCAAACCAUAAACCCUAAACCAUCAAUCUUAAACCCUUUUUUUUUUUAAAUACGAACCCUAAACCGUAAACCAUCAAUCAUAAACCCUAUAUUUUUUUUGAAAUAAACCCUAAACCCAGAAACAUCAACUCUAAACCCCGAAACAUCAACUCUAAACCCUAAACCCUAAACCUUCAACUCUAAACCCUAAACCCUAAACGUAAACCCUACCCUAAACCUUCAACUCUAAACCCUAAAGCAUCAACUCUAAACCCUAAACCCUAAACAUCAACUCUAAACCCUAAACUAUCAACACUAAACCCUAAACCUUAAAACUAAACUCUAAACCCUAAACCUUCAACUCAACCCUAAACCCUAAACUUCAACUCUAAACCCUAAACCAUCAACACUAAACCCAAAACUAUCAACACUAAACACUAAACCCUAAAAAGUAAACUCUAAACCCUAAACCCUAAAAAAUUAACCAUGAACCCUAAAACAUCAACUCUAAACCCUAAACCCUAAACCUUCAACUCUAAACCCUAAACCAUAAAUCCUAAACCCUAAACU